rnacentral:rRNA from 1 species
UACAUAGGGGGCAAGCGUUGUUCGGAAUUACUGGGCGUAAAGGGCGCGUAGGCGGCCUGCUAAGUCGAACGUGAAAUCCCUGGGCUCAACCCAGGAACUGCGUCCGAUACUGGUUGGCUUGAAUCCGGGAGAGGGAUGUGGAAUUCCAGGUGUAGCGGUGAAAUGCGUAGAUAUCUGGAGGAACACCGGUGGCGAAGGCGACAUCCUGGACCGGUAUUGACGCUGAGGCGCGAAAGCCAGGGGAGCAAACGGG